rnacentral:rRNA from 1 species
CGCGUAGGCGGCCUGGUAAGUAGGAGGUGAAAUCCUGCGGCUUAACCGCAGGGCUGCCUUCUAAACUGUCAGGCUCGAGCACAGUAGAGGCAGGUGGAAUUCCCGGUGUAGCGGUGGAAUGCGUAGAGAUCGGGAAGAACAUCAGUGGCGAAGGCGGCCUGCUGGGCUGUUGCUGACGCUGAGGCGCGACAGCGUGGGGAGCAAACA